AGUGAACGCUGGCGGUAGGCCUAACACAUGCAAGUCGAACGGCAGCACAGUAAGAGCUUGCUCUUACGGGUGGCGAGUGGCGGACGGGUGAGGAAUACAUCGGAAUCUACUUUUUCGUGGGGGAUAACGUAGGGAAACUUACGCUAAUACCGCAUACGACCUACGGGUGAAAGCAGGGGAUCUUCGGACCUUGCGCGAUUGAAUGAGCCGAUGUCGGAUUAGCUAGUUGGCGGGGUAAAGGCCCACCAAGGCGACGAUCCGUAGCUGGUCUGAGAGGAUGAUCAGCCACACUGGAACUUAGACACGGUCCAGACUCCUACGGGGGGCAGCAGUGGGGAAUAUUUGACAAUGGGCGCAAGCCUGAUCCAGCCAUACCGCGUGGGUGAAGAAGGCCUUCGGGUUGUAAAGCCCUUUUGUUGGGAAAGAAAAGCAGCAGGUUAAUACCCCGCUGUUCUGACGGUACCCAAAGAAUAAGCACCGGCUAACUUCGUG
rnacentral:rRNA from 1 species